AGUCUGAGGAAAUGUUGAAGGUGAGGAGGGUACCGGCUGAAACCAUGAAUGAGACAAAGUAGUUGGCAGAAGGAGGGAAGUGCCCCAGCCACAGGGACCCGUGAAUAAGAAUGCAGGGAGGCAGGCAGGAGGUGACAAACCUGAUCAGAAGGGCUGGACCUGAAAAGCAGUGACGUGAAGGAUGUGAAAUAAAUUUUGGAUGGAUAGAAUAGUAAGUUCCUUAGAGGCCUUUAACAAAGGGAAUAAGAAAUAAUUACUAACUAGAGAAAGUUAAUUUAUUAUAAUAAAGAUUCUCCACAACUCUGACCUUGGGGGUUUGUGUUUUUGUUUAGAAGAGGCUCAUGUUUAAUUCAACUCUAUACUGAAUAGAUUAUGGUGAGAUUUGGUUGUAUUUUUAAUUUACGGUGACCAGACACAGGACUGUAAGCCAGAAAGGUGUUCAUCUCAGAGAAGAGAUGUAUUAGUUUCCUACUGAUGCUCUAACAAAGAACCACAAACUUAGUGGCUUAAAACAAUAUAAGUUUGUUUUCUUACAGUUCUGUCCAUCUGAAGUCCAACAUGUGUCUCACUGAGCCAAGAUCAAGGGUAUAAUUCCUUUCUGGAGACUGGAGAUUCUGGAGAAUCUCUUUUCUUGCCUCUUCCACCUUCUCGAGGCUGCCCACCUUCCUUGGCUCAUGGCCCCUUCCACCAUCUUCAAAGCCAAGCAGAAUCCUUCUUAUAUUCCCAUCUCACUGAUUCUCUUUUUCAUAACACAUCUUCCUCUUCCUUCCUUCUUUGAUAUCUGGAUUCUGAACAUCUUGGGAUUAUGCCGUUCUCUUCCAAAAUUAUGUUACCAGUGUUGUGGCUGCAUUUCAGCGGGAGAGUUAUGAGUGAGGAAAUAGUGAUAAAGGUGAAGGGAGAGAGAGUUGGAAAGUCUGUAGCCAGGCGUCAGAAGCAGAGGCAGAUGUGAGCAAUAGAGAAAGGAAAGGGGGUGGGGCACCAAGAAGUGUGUCCUGGUGAGCCUGAGCUUUGUACGUCAGUAAAAAUUGUGCUUGUCAAGCAAAGGAAGUGUAAGUGCUUCUAGAAAACAUACACUGUUUUUGUUAUUCAGAGGAGAAAUUCAUGAUAAAUUGUAAAGAAGUUGAUGGAUACUUAUUCACCUAGAUAGUGUUGAUACCAUAGUAUUGCAAGGACUUUUCAGAAAAAUAAGAAUUCUGUUUGACUUGUAGAAAUUAUAAUUCCCAUAUUUAUUUCUCAUCUAUCAAUUGCGUUCUACAUCACAACUCUGGGAGAAUAUAAAAAUUGAUCUGUAUCAAACAGAAACAUGAUUCUGGCAGCAAAACAGGCUUCCAUAAAAAUCAGGCAAAGUGGACAAAAAAAAGAGGUGGGCAGAUUUUAUUACAUUUAUUUUUGUCCAUCUCCUCAGUUUUUCCUGAUUUAUUUUAAAACCCUGGUCACAUGGGGCCAGAAUCUAUAUUUAUUGCUACAUAAACAUAUCCAUUAGACCUGAGCCAUAUAAGGAAAAUAUUGCUAAUCUUGGUUCCAGUGGUAUUUUAAAAUCUUAAUAUUCUGUGUUGGUUUAGUAGCUUUAGGCCGUUUUUUUUUUUUUUUUCAGGCUUUGCACUCAAAUAUAAUUGCCAGCUCUUCUCCACUUUUCUCACUUCCUGUGUCCCAUUAAAGCUUAAAAGGAUACCAUUCCUUCCAUGACAUUAUUCUCAUCCCUCCAUUACUCUUUUUUAUUUCCAUUCUUGCAUUUCUGCCUUAGCUGUAUGUUAAUCUCAUACUUCUGCUAAUGAGUAACUCCUUUUGGCUCAAUGGACAAGAGAAAGCAAGCAAAACUUCACUCUUAAAGUAAAUUAUUAAACUAAUUUUUACGUGAUUUCUUUUAAAAUUCCAUAAUUGCUUUUUAAUCAGACACAGUCGUUAAAUUUGAAAUGUCAGCAAGCAGAAUCAAAGGCCCAUAGUUAUAUGCUUUUCAGAAUAAAGUGUUGCUAUUGCCUAUAGUUUUGCACAUUCUGAUAAAAAACAUUAAUAUUUCCUUUGUUUCUGCCUCAAUCAUCAAGUGGUAUAAUGCUAAAAAGUCUCAGGAUGAUGACUGGGAUUUGGUUAGCGGUUAACGAAGGCAAGUCUUCUCAGAACCACAAAGACCUACAGCCUGUGUUUGAACCGUAUUUACUACAGACAGGUCCUGACUCAGGUGCCAAUCUGACAUGACAGAAUUGCUGUACGAAGAAUUCUGGAUCUGUGAUCAAUUAAUAAUGUCUGCAUGGGUGCAGAAUGUGACUAGAAAUAUAUAUACCACAUAUUUACCAUUCUUAAAAUCUUGAUGAAGGCUGCAUAACAGCUUUUUUUUUUCUUUUAAAGGUAGCAUGACUUAAUGGAAAAAACUUGGGUGGGUUCUGGAAUCAGAUCCAUCUGGGUCCAAAUCUCUCUUGUACUUCUGUCUAGUUGUAUGAUCUUAGGAAAGCCAGUUGAUACUUGUGCAAUCUAUGAUAUGGGAUUGAUAAUACCUGUAUCACAUGGUUGUUGGAAUAAUGAAUCAGAAUAAUAUACGUCAAGCCCCUGGGCCCUAGUAGAGUCUCCAUCAGUGGUAGCUGUAGUUAUUUCCUGUGUUAUCUUCUCACAUUGUUACCCACCGAUCUUCCAAGACAUAGUCUUCACCAGACCAUGUGCCUCUAGUGGGAGGGAGGGAUUUCUCAACAAAACCAGUCACAUUAUGCUCCUCCCAACUCAAAUCAGACCAAAACGAAUCCUUCCUUGGGGAAUUUGCAGACUUGAGCUGGCAAAGGAGAGAUGUUUUCUCUCUGUUGACUUGUGCUCCCGGAGCCGAGGAUUCUCAUCCACGUGACAAAGCCUGUCUAUGAUGGAGAGAAUGGACUGAUGGGGCAGUGUCUGAGUGUUUAGUUUCAGUGACUGGACCCCUGGAGCAGCCCCGGAUCCUCUCCUCCCAAAGCCUGGGUGUUUGGUCAUCUUUUCCUUUGAUUCAUUAAUCUCCAUCCCCCACUCCCACCCCAAACACAUAGACGUCUAAUCCCAUUUAACUUUAAACUAGACCCAGACUCAAAACAGUUCUGACUGAUAGGCUAAUUAUUAUUAUGCCUACCUUUUAAGAAGUUUGAUUUCUACAGAUUAGCACUUAAUUCCAUCAUUGCUCCUCUCUUGACAGUUUUUCAUUUUUUCAUGGUACAGGGAAGCUUAAAAUCCAAACAAAGUGGCUUUCAAAGGUUUUGCUUAUAAGCAUGUCAUAUUAAGUAACUGAGCUAUGAAUAUUUACGGUUGAUGACAUAUUGGGAAAAUUUGUUUCUUGCAUUGGCAUAAGUAGAUAACAUUUAUAUCCUAAAAUGAGCACCAUUGAGUGCUCUGUUAGAAGUUUGGUGCCACGUGGUGCAAAUAAAGCCAUAAUCAUCAUUCUAGAACCUGUUCAGGCAAGUUAGCUCUCUACAAAGAAAGCUUCACUCCACCUUACAGACUGUGUCUGCUGGGCUCUGAUUAUGGAGGGACCUGGGAGGACCUCAGGCAAACAUGUCAUCCUGGUGGAAACUGGGCACAAAAGGCAUUUCAUCUCUGUCACCCUCUCCCCCCGACUCCAGUGUCUGGCCAUGGUUGGUCGUCCAGAAAUGUUUGUUUGAUUAGAACCACAAGCAGAGAGAAAACGUAUGAAACUAGUGCAUCUUUUCCCUAAAUCUCACCCCAACAAUUGUCCCACCCUAUCUUCAGGCUUUUUCUGUCUAAAAGCACCUUCCGUUCUACACUCAAAAAUCCCCUUCUCAGCUCUUUUAAGAAAACAUUUCAUUUUCAAUGAAAAUUCUAAAUUCAGGAGAAUGAUUUUUCCAUAAGGUACAUAGAAAACUCAGAUCCACUGCUUUCAACUUACUACUUACACACUUACAAAUCACCCUUGCCCUUCAGAAUAGUUGGAAAAAUCACAAAUUCACAAACUCUCAUAGUUAGGAAAACUGAAAAAGAGGCAGCCAUUCAGUGGUAAGCAUGAAUCAGAGAGCAGACAUUUGCUAUUAAUUUGCGCUUCAACUAAAAGCCGAUAUAAUCCUUACAAUCUGUUAUACCAGUUUAGCUUUUUGUUGACUUUUACUUGUUUCACCAUGAUUGGGCAUUAUAAACUCUUCAUGAACCAAAUCUGAAUUAUGUUUUUAUAAUUAUCUCUUGGUUCCUAGAUAUACAUCAAAGACUUAGUUGAUACUUGAUAACUGAAUAGGGAAUAAUAGAGAAAAUAAUGUCUUUCAGAAGCUGAUAGUCUAGUGGGAAACACAGGAUCAACAUAAAGAUGACUGUAAUUUCCCAAAGAGCAUUCAAAUGAAUAAUUUAACAAGCUUUUGCUUUAAAGCUGACCUAAGACGGCAUUACUCAGUGGGACUGAAAUUGCUGUGCCCAGAAACACAUGGAGAGAGAAACAGCCGUGUGGCUGACAGGGUCUUGGUGCUCUGGCCGGGUGUCAGGCCUGUGCCUCUGAGGUGGGAGAGCUGAGUUCAGGACACUGGUCCACCAGAGACCUCCCAGCUCCACGUAAUAUCAGUCAGCGAGAGCUCUCCCAGAGAUCUCCAUCUCAAUGCUAAGACCCAGCUUCAUUGAACAACCAGCAAGCUACGGUGCUGGACACCCUAUGCCAAACAAAUAGCAAGACAGGAACACAACCCCGCGCAUUAGCAGAGAGGCUGCCUAAAAUCAUAAUAAGGUCACAGACACCCCAAAACACACCACCGGACGCGGUCCUGCCCACCAGAAAGACAAGAUCCAGCCUCAUCCACCAGAAUCCCCUCCACCAGGAAGCCUACACAACCCACUGAACCAACCUUAGCCACUGGGGACAGACACCAAAAACAGUGGGAACUAGGAGCCUGCAGCCUGAGAAAAGGAGACCCCAAACACAGUAAGAUAAGCAAACUGAGAAGACAGAAAAACACACAGCAGAUGAAGGAGCAAAUAAAAACCCACGAGACC
rnacentral:lncRNA from 1 species